GUCUAAGGCCAUACCACCCUGAACACGCCCGAUCUCAUCUGAUCUUGGAAACCAAGCAGGGCUGGGCCUGAUUAGUACUUGGAUAGGAGAAACACCACCAUUUUCUACAACUAUGCGCUUUGCAUU
rnacentral:rRNA from 1 species